CAGUAGCCGCGGUAACACAGAGGGUGCAAGCGUUAAUCGGAAUUACUGGGCGUAAAGCGCGCGUAGGUGGUUCGCCAAGUUGGAUGUGAAAUCCCCGGGCUCAACCUGGGAACUGCAUCCAAAACUGGCGAGCUAGAGUAUGGUAGAGGGUGGUGGAAUUUCCUGUGUAGCGGUGAAAUGCGUAGAUAUAGAAAGGAACAUCAGUGGCGAAGGCGACCACCUGGACUGAUACUGACACUGAGGUGCGAAAGCGUGGGGAGCAAACAGGAUUAGAUACCCCUGUAGUCCCUGUCUCUUAUAC
rnacentral:rRNA from 1 species